AUGAACGCUGGCGGCGUGCCUAAUACAUGCACGUCGAGCGAACAGACGAGGAGCUUGCUCCUCUGACGUUAGCGGCGGACGGGUGAGUAACACGUGGAUAACCUACCUAUAAGACUGGGAUAACUUCGGGAAACCGGAGCUAAUACCGGAUAAUAUAUUGAACCGCAUGGUUCAAUAGUGAAAGACGGUUUUGCUGUCACUUAUAGAUGGAUCCGCGCCGCAUUAGCUAGUUGGUAAGGUAACGGCUUACCAAGGCAACGAUGCGUAGCCGACCUGAGAGGGUGAUCGGCUACACUGGAACUGAGACACGGUCCAGACUCCUACGGGAGGCAGCAGUAGGGAAUCUUCCGCAAUGGGCGAAAGCCUGACGGAGCAACGCCGCGUGAGUGAUGAAGGUCUUCGGAUCGUAAAACUCUGUUAUUAGGGAAGAACAAAUGUGUAAGUAACUAUGCACGUCUUGACGGUACCUAAUCAGAAAGCCACGGCUAACUACGUG
rnacentral:rRNA from 1 species